rnacentral:rRNA from 1 species
CAGCCCCCUGAGUGGUAAGGACGAUUAUUUGGCUUAAAGCGUCCGUAGCCGGCUUAGUGAGUCUCUUGUUAAAUCCAAUGAUUCAAUCAUUGAACUGCAAGAGAUACUGCUAUGCUAGAGGACGGGAGAGGUCGACGGUAGUCCAGGGGUAGGGGUGAAAUCCUAUAAUCCUUGGAGGACCACCAGUGGCGAAGGCGGUCGACUAGAACGUGCCUGACGGUGAGGGACGAAAGCUGGGGGAGCGAACCGGAUUAGAUACCCGAGUAGUCC